rfam:Virgibacillus massiliensis genome assembly, contig: 000001
GGUACCUUUAAUUCAGUCCAGAGAGGCUGACAAGGACAGCGGAUCAUGUGUAGGGGUUAUGUAUAGAUGUACAAACAUACAUAACGGUAGCUACUAUCGUUUUUCGAUAAUGGCCAUCCCUAAAAAGCAGGCUUCUUGUCGCACACGACUGGAGGCCUGCUUUUU